UUGCAAUGAAGAAUAUUACGCUAAUUGUAAUCUGGGUCGAUCACAACCGUCCGAUGUUCAGACGAAUCUAUUAGCGCAUCAGAGCAA